rnacentral:rRNA from 1 species
GCGCGAAAACUUCGCAAUGUGCGAAAGCACGACGAGGGGAUCCCGAGUGCUUGCACGUAAGUGCAGGCUGUUUCUCUGUCUAGAAAGCAGAGAGAGUAAGGGCUGGGUAAGACGGGUGCCAGCCGCCGCGGUAAUACCUGCAGCUCGAGUGGUGGCCGCUAUUAUUGGGCCUAAAACGUCCGUAGCCGGUUUAUCAAAUGCCUGGGUAAAUCGGGCCGCUUAACGGUUCGAAUUCCGGGUAGACUGAUAAACUUGAGACCGGGGGAAGUUGGAGGUACUCCUGGGGUAGGGGUGAAAUCCUGUAAUCCUAGGGGGACCACCGGUGGCGAAGGCGUCCAACUAGAACGGGUCUGACGGUGAGGGACGAAGCCCUGGGGAGCAAACGGGAUUAGAUACCCCGGUAGUCCAGGGUGUAAACGCUGCCUGCUUGAUGUUAGUCUGGCUCCGGGCCAGGCUAGUGUCGGAGAGAAGUUGUUAAGCAGGCUGCCUGGGGAGUACGGUCGCAAGACUGAAACU